GCGAGGGUGGCGGAAUUGGCAGACGCACCAGACUUAGGAUCUGGCGUCCUAGACGUGAGGGUUCAAGUCCCUCCCUUCGCACCA
rnacentral:tRNA from 1 species